CAGGCGUUAGCUAUGAGCUGCCACAAAUUGCAAUAUCUUGACCUCAGCUCCACAGCAACUGGCAAAUAUGGAAUUUGUUUACUAGCUGCUUAUUGCAACCAGAACUUGGAAUGUGUGAAACUCAGCUUCUGCAAAGAAAUAACUGAAGAUGCCAUUAAAAAAUUGUGUAAGAACAGCAAACAACUAAAGUUGCUUCAUCUCUAUGGGUGUCAAUCUGUCCAUAAUCUGAAGGCAAUUCAAGAUGUGAACAAGCAAGUGGAGUUGCACCAUGACCAAGUGUCAACAAAAUAGAAUGCUAAAGACACUAUGAUUCUUUUUUCGGUUGCAGUGAUGAACUUGCUGAUGUUUGUGCAUAUUCAUCUUCAUGUAAAGAUCACUGAUGUAAUGCCAUGGCAGGUCAUUCCUUGGCACAAGCACUCUCACAAUGCAUCACCAUGCCAAUCGUGAAGAGAAUUUGAACUUACCAUAGUU